UAUGGCGGGAUUAAUGACUAAAUUGUUGCUAAUGGCGGUUCAAAAGCCCUCAAAAAAGGGAAAGCUCAAAGUAAUAAAAUGGCUUCAAAAGAAAAAGCUACUCACAAGCAGAGUACUUUGUUCAAGAUGUGGCCAAAAGAUGAAACUGACCAGGAACAGUAAAAUUUCUGAUGGAUAUAACUGGGUGUGCAGAUCUAAAAAUCAUCGUGGAGUUAAAAGCAGCCGAUCUGUAAGGACAGGAUCUUUAUUUGAAAAAUCAAAAAUAAGCUUGCCAUCAUGGUUAACAUUUAUUUACAGGUUCUCUCAAGGAUUGCACCUGAGACAGAUAGACAUGAUGCAGGACAGGAUUGCUAGAAGUUCUAAAACUCUCUCCAGAAUGGCUAAGG